rnacentral:rRNA from 1 species
UACAGAGGUGGCAAGCGUUGUUCGGAAUUACUGGGCGUAAAGGGCGCGUAGGCGGCCUUCUAAGUCAGACGUGAAAUCCCCAGGCUUAACCUGGGAACUGCGUCGGAUACUGGAUGGCUUGAAUUCGGGAGAGGGAUGCAGAAUUCCAGGUGUAGCGGUGAAAUGCGUAGAUAUCUGGAGGAAUACCGGUGGCGAAGGCGGCAUCCUGGACCGACAUUGACGCUGAGGAGCGAAAGCUAGGGGAGCAAACGGG